ensembl:lncRNA
CAGUGACACCUUCGCAGUGACAGUUUAUCUCUGUAAAUUGCCUGGUUACUUGAUCUAGUCAUUAUUUGUAUUAAAAACAGCUAGGCUCAUGUGAAACCCUAUUUUCAGAAAAGGCAAAAAACAUGGUGUGAAUCAUUUGUCCAGUUUGCUUUUACAAAUACAUUAUUCCAUACAAUAGUCGCUUAUAGAAUUGUAUUCAUUGGUAUAUCCUGCUCAUAAUUUAAAUUAACCAAAUACUGCCUCUUCAUAGUCGAACCUCUGUGCUAAUACAUAUUAAUGAAACAAAUGUUUCUAUACAGCAUUGAUGCAUGUGAAGAGGACUCCUCUCUUGGGAGACUUGUUAAUGACGACCACAGAAGACCUAAUUGCAAAAUGAAAACCAUAAAAGUAAAUGAGAACCCACACUUGUGUCUCUUCGCGAUUCGAGAUAUUACAGCUGGAGAAGAAUUGACUUACAACUACGGUGACUCAAACUGGGCAUGGAGAGCACAGGUUAACAAGGAUGUAGUACCUAGCGUGAAACCUGAGAUUGGGAGUAUAAAGUCUGCUGCUGCUAUAGUACAUGCUGAUUCAGUAGGGACUGAACCCACCACAGUCACAACUGCAGACUCACAGCCUGCUGACACAGUCCCCAAAACACACUUCACUGGCACAGACACCCUGUCCAACAUGCCCGUCUCAGAUGAUAAUUUGCAGAGUGAGCGCUCGAAGGUAAGCGCAUAAGUGCCCCAGACUGGGUCAGUUUGUGGAUCUGCACUAUGUAUUCAUGAUUGUCAAAGUUUCCAGUGUCUGGUUCCAAAGUCAAAUGAACAUUGAAUUAUACUCUUGCAUAGCCCAAAAACAUCACUUCUACAUCUAUUUGUUGCUAUACUAAUACGUCAAGCAUAAUAUUGGCCCACAUAAGUAUGGACACUAAAGCAUUUCUCAUGUUCUGUACUUUAAAUUUGAAAUAACACAAAGACAAUGUGGAUACAUGGUGUUUUGAUGCAAGUAGGAAAGACUUACACAUUUGUUUCUCAUCAAAACAGUGCUAUAAAGUAGAGUAAGGUAAUUACUUAAACUAUAAAGAGAUCAAUGCACAUAGCUUAUGUUGGUAGCAUGAUGGUUUGAGGCUGACUUGAUAACUCUGACUUUAGUCGAUUUACUAAUCCAUACCGCAUGACCGUAACAAAGACAAGUCUGGUUUCCAAACCUGCAUUUUUUUUUUUGCUGGCACCCUGUCAUUUUUUACAUUUAAAAGGUUUGUGAUGCGUUUUCAUUAUAUUGUUUCAAAGUACUGGUGUACAGAACAAAAAUCAUUUUCAACAUGAAAAUCUUAUCCCUAGUGUCAGUCUGUCUGAAGUAAUAGACCAUUCCAGGCUACUUAAAUCCAAAUUAAUUUAUCAACCUUUUUGUAGUAUUGUAUUGCAUUUCAAUCUUUUUUUUUUUUUUUUUAAACAAUAAUUUCUGGUACACUGAUUGUUAUAUUUGGUUCAACAAUUGCAGGCCAGGAUUGACAAAUUAAAAGAACACCACAAUAGGUGUGAAGCUCGGUAUGAAUCUACGGCAGAAAAGCGAAACGCUCUUCAAAGACAGCGAACCUUACUCCUACUGCAACUGGCAAACUUGGAUAAAAUGGUGAGUCAUUUUAUUGUACGUUGACAGAACUUAGGUAAAAUAUUUUCUGUUCUGAAAAAUGCAGCAGGUAAACCUUGCCUGGCUAACGUCAGACCAAUUCUCAUUC